rnacentral:misc_RNA from 1 species
GAUGAAGAACGCAGCGAAAUGCGAUACGUAAUGUGAAUUGCAGAAUUCAGUGAAUCAUCGAGUCUUUGAACGCACAUUGCGCCCCCUGGUAUUCCGGGGGGCAUGCCUGUCCGAGCGUCAUUGCUGCCCUCAAGCACGGCUUGUGUGUUGGGGAUCGGCGUGCCCUCGCGGCGCGCCGUCCCCUAAAUCUAGUGGCGGUCUCGCUGUAGCUUCCUCUGCGUAGUAGCAACACUCGCACUGGAUCGCAGCGCGGCCACGCCGUUAAACCCCCCACUUCUGAAAGUUUGACCUCGGAUCAGGUAGGAAUACCCGCUGAACUUAAGCAUAUCAAUAAGCGGAGGA